rnacentral:rRNA from 1 species
AACGUAGGAGACGAACGUUAUCCGGAGUUACUGGGCGUAAAGGGCGUGCAGGCGGUCUGAUAAGUUCGGCGUGAAAUAUUCCGGCUUAACCGGGAUAGGUCGUCGGAGACUGUCGGACUAGAGGGUGAUAGAGGCGUGUGGAAUUCCGGGUGUAGUGGUGAAAUGCGUAGAGAUCCGGAGGAACACCAGUGGCGAAGGCGGCUGCCUGGGCCUGGCCUGACGCUGAGGCGCGAAAGCGUGGGGAGCGAUCCGG